rnacentral:rRNA from 2 species
AACCAACAGGGAUUCCCCUAGUAACGGCGAGUGAAGCGGGAACAGCUCAAAUUUGAAAUCUGGCCCUUGGGUCCGAGUUGUAAUUUGCAGAGGAUGCUUUUGGUGCGGUGCCUUCCGAGUUCCCUGGAACGGGACGCCUUAGAGGGUGAGAGCCCCGUACGGUUGGCCACCAAGCCUGUGUAAAGCUCCUUCGACGAGUCGAGUAGUUUGGGAAUGCUGCUCAAAAUGGGAGGUAUAUUUCUUCUAAAGCUAAAUACUGGCCAGAGACCGAUAGCGCACAAGUAGAGUGAUCGAAAGAUGAAAAGCACUUUGAAAAGAGGGUUAAAUAGCACGUGAAAUUGUUGAAAGGGAAGGAUUUAUGACCAGACUUUUUCUGGGGGGAUCAUCCGGUGUUCUCACCGGUGCACUUCCCCCAGUUGAGGCCAGCAUCGGUUUCUGCCGGGGGAUAAAAGCUUUGGGAAUGUGGCUCCUUCGGGAGUGUUAUAGCCCGUUGCAUAAUACCCUGGCGGGGACCGAGGUUCGCGCAUUGCAAGGAUGCUGGCGUAAUGGUUAUUAAUCACCCGUCUUGAAACACGGACCAAGGAGUCGAACAUUUGUGCGAGUGUUUGGGUGUUAAACCCUCACGCGUAAUGAAAGUGAACGGAGGUGAGAGCCUUUAGGGGUGCAUCAUCGACCGAUCCUGAUGUCUUCGGAUGGAUUUGAGUAAGAGCAUAACUGUUCGGACCCGAAAGAUGGUGAACUAUGCGUGGAUAGGGUGAAGCCAGAGGAAACUCUGGUGGAGGCUCGCAGCGGUUCUGACGUGCAAAUCGAUCGUCAAAUCUGCGCAUGGGGGCGAAAGACU